rnacentral:snRNA from 1 species
GUGCUCACUUCAGCAGCAUAUAUACUAAAACCGGACCGAUACAAAGAAGAUUUGCAUGGCCCCUGUGCAAGGAUGACACACAAAUUCGUGAAGUGUUCCAUAUUAAA